GGUUAAAUUGUCGUUUUUUUUGUGGCAAUCUUUUAAUUUUAUUUCGGAGAGACGUUUAUCAGAAUAAUAUCUUGAAAAGGGAUCGUAUCACCAUGGGAUGGCUACGUCACAUCCAUUCUGCUCUAGAAGAUAUCGACUAUAGACAACUCUCAACAAAACUUAUACUAGUUUUCCUGUUCUUUGUGACAUACGUCAUCGGUUUUGUUAUUUCUGCACUACUGUCGAAAUCAUCAACAACGUACGUUAAUAUGUCGAAAAAAGAAAAAAUAUUUUGGAAUUCAGGAUUUGUUCGUACAUGCUUUUCGAUAUUUUGUGUAGGUGGAUGUUUGUUGUGUUUAUUUGUCGAUAAAGAUUACAAAGAAAAUACAGUACACGAUACAACACCGGCCAGUUUUAUCCUAUGUACCUCAGCACUUGGUUUUUUUGCUUUUGAGUGUACUGCUUUAACAUUUUCUGACAUAAGUUAUAGAAAGUUUAGUUACCUUUUACAACUACAUCAUUGGAUAGGUAUGUUUGUCUUAUUACAAGUAGUAGUAUCUGACGUUGGCCACUUGUUCACUGUGAGGUGUUUACUUUUGGAAUCGAGUGCGCCGUGUACCUUUACAUGCUGGGUAUUGCUGAAACUUGGGAAAGGAAAAACGACUAUCUGGAAAUUAAACCAAUGUUUAUUAGUACACGUUUACCAUUUUCGGUCUUUUGUAGAAUUAAACAUAUGCUAUUUAACAUUUUUCAAAUACCGAAAUGAUCUACUCUCGGUGCUUCCAGUACCAGCGUAUAUACUAGCUUGUACAUAUGUGGUGUUGCUGACUUUUUUGUUGACACCGUACUGGACAUAUAAAAAGACGACACAACUAUAUAUACCAAAGGAUUUUGAGUUCAGUGAUUCAACCAAUCAAACGCACUUAAACGGUGAUGUGAAAAAAUGUGCUUAGUACAAGAAGAUUUUAAAGAGGAAUAUAUGUACCUUGUCGGGACUGUGCUAAAUCGAAAAGAAUGAAAGAAAGAGAUGGAAAUAUUGUUAUAUUAAUUUGAAAUCUUAGUAGAUCCCUGUUACAUAUUUUAUAUUUUGUUGAAUAUUGAAUGCGUCUUAAAUAGACAAUAGACACAAUACAAAGCAUUAGUUUAGGUUUGAACUAUGAAUUGAUAAGAAACACAAGCUAAAUAAAGAAAAUAUUAAGACACAAACAUGUUGAAGGAAUCCCGAUCUAAUUCUUUCAUAACUGAUGUCUUGUUCAUGGGUUCUUAUAUAAAUGUUCAGUUAUCGUUUUGUUUUGUCAACCAUGCUCAAAGAUUUUGAUAUUUAUUUAAAUAGAAAUUAAAGAUUAUAAAUUCGUGUA